AAAGUACUCCCUCCGUCCGGAAAUACUCGUCAGAGAAAUGGAUGUAUCUAGAUGUAUUUUAGUUCUAGAUAUAUUCAUUUUUAUCCAUUUCUUCGAUAAGUAUUUUCGGACGGAUGGAGUAAUUA
rnacentral:pre_miRNA from 1 species